UACGUAGGGUGCGAGCGUUGUCCGGAAUUACUGGGCGUAAAGAGCUCGUAGGUGGUUUGUCGCGUUGUUCGUGAAAACUCACAGCUUAACUGUGGGCGUGCGGGCGAUACGGGCAGACUGGAGUACUGCAGGGGAGACUGGAAUUCCUGGUGUAGCGGUGGAAUGCGCAGAUAUCAGGAGGAACACCGGUGGCGAAGGCGGAUCUCUGGGCCUAUACUGACGCUGAGGAGCGAAAGCGUGGGGGAGCGAAACAGG
rnacentral:rRNA from 1 species